GCCUGACGCAGCGACGCGCGUGGGGGAAGAAGGCUUCGGGUUGUAAACCCUUCAGGAAGGACGAAGCCACUCGGGUGAAUAGCCCAGAGGGUGACGGUACUUCCAGAAGAAGCCCCGGCUAACUACGUGCCAGCAGCCGCGGUAAUACGUAGGGGGCAAGCGUUGUCCGGAUUAUUGGGCGUAAAGAGCGUGUAGGCGGUUAGGUAGGUCCGUUGUGAAAACUCGAGGCUCAACCUCGAGACGCCGAUGGAAACCAUCUAACUAGAGUCCGGAAGAGGAGAGUGGAAUUCCUGGUGUAGCGGUGAAAUGCGCAGAUAUCAGGAAGAACACCCGUGGCUAAGGCGGCUCUCUAGUACGGUACUGACGCUGAGACGCGAAAGCGUGGGGAGCGAACAGGAUUAGAUACCCUGGUAGUCCACGCCGUAAACGAUGGGUGCUAGGUGUAGGGGGUGUCGACUCCCUCUGGGCCGAAGCUAACGCAUUAAGCACCCCGCCUGGGGGGUACGGCCGCAAGGCUA
rnacentral:rRNA from 1 species